GGAAACUUGAAAAUAAGUUUUUGGAACAAAAAUUGCAAAAAUCAAGUAUACCCAGACACAAGCUUGUAUUUUCAAGGUUGGAGACGACUGCAGACAAGAUGUACUUGCUUUACAAGUGAUUUCGCUUCUGAAAGACAUAUUUGAAGCAGUUGGACUUGAUCUUUAUCUGUUUCCUUAUGGAGUACUUCCAACUGACCCUGAAAGAGGAAUAAUUGAGGUUGUUCCAAACACGCGGAGUAGAAGCUCGAUGGGUGAAACGACAGAUGGUGGAUUAUAUCGAAAGUAAAAUAUUUUUUGCCCAUGAUUAAAAGACGUAAUUGCCCUUGUAGGUGGAUGGAGUACCUGCAUUGAUUCACCAGACUGAAGUGUCAU